GAUGAACGCUGGCGGCGUGCCUAAUACAUGCAAGUCGAGCGAACAGACGAGGAGCUUGCUCCUCUGACGUUAGCGGCGGACGGGUGAGUAACACGUGGAUAACCUACCUAUAAGACUGGGAUAACUUCGGGAAACCGGAGCUAAUACCGGAUAAUAUAUUGAACCGCAUGGUUCAAUAGUGAAAGACGGUUUUGCUGUCACGUAUAGAUGGAUCCGCGCCGCAUUAGCUAGUUGGUAAGGUAACGGCUUACCAAGGCGACGAUGCGUAGCCGACCUGAGAGGGUGAUAGGCCACACUGGAACUGAGACACGGUCCAGACUCCUACGGGAGGCAGCAGUAGGGAAUCUUCCGCAAUGGGCGGAAGCCUGACGGAGCAACGCCGCGUGAGUGAUGAAGGUCUUCGGAUCGUAAAACUCUGUUAUUAGGGAAGAACAAAUGUGUAAGUAACUAUGCACGUCUUGACGGUACCUAAUCAGAAAGCCACGGCUAACUACGUG
rnacentral:rRNA from 1 species